rnacentral:lncRNA from 1 species
AAUACAUCUUACAUUCAUUGGAUAAACUCUAUAAUUUAAAUUGUCUGAAGGAAUUAGAUGAUGGCUGCUUAAAGCCCGAAGAAAAUGACAACCAUCUGGAAGCCAGUGGAGAUAUUUGAAUGGGGAAAAUCUUUUCCUAACCUGACUCAAGAUCUGACCCAACAGACCCGUGUUAGUGAGGGCUUUGUGUUAUGGAUCUGAUGGACAGAUCGAAAUUGUGCUACAGAGAAAGUACUUUGGGACCUUUGUGGAAAAAGACAUUUCUAGAGAUUUGUCCAUGGGAAGCAAAUUAAGCACCUGGACAAGUCUCUGUCUUCCAAUCAUGAAGGAGCCCGCAGAACUCUCCUGCCUGCCUGCCUGCUCCCUGCACAGUUACGCUUGCUUCACCCAAUAGAUGUGAGCCUGGCCAGCCUUUUCUGAAUUCAAUCCUGUUACAAAGAAUGUAGCAGUUUUCUACCUAAACUUUGCUAUUACUGGAUCAUUGCGCAGUAAAGCAAAUUCCACAGCAAUUUUAAUCUGCUCUCAUUGUCAUUGAAAUAACUCUAGAUUUUCACAAGCUUUCUUAAAAGAAAAAAUAGUGUGCAUAUUGUUACACUUUUACACUCUUACACACCAAAGUGAAAGGUCAUGCCAUUGCCUCGAACAGCCACAUCUGUAAAACAAAAUAGUACUCACAUGCAAAUAUCCACACACAACACUGAAUUUCUUUUUAGAUUUAUAUAAAUAUAAUAUAUAUGUUGAUAUACAUAAAACAUAUAUUAUUGUAUUUUUACAUAUAUAGUACCAUGUAUCUUGAUUGAUGAAUUGGCAUGAUUAAGUGAGAGACUGGCCUUCUGUGCCAUAAAAUUUUGGAAUAAAAUACUGUAGUCUCUUCAAUGCCUAAACAGGACUAAAUUUCUGAAAACAAACUACAGGUGUCCAAACAAAACAAACC